GACAGAGGAUGCAAGCGUUAUCCGGAAUGAUUGGGCGUAAAGCGUCUGUAGGUGGCUUUUUAAGUCCGCCGUCAAAUCCCAGGGCUCAACCCUGGACAGGCGGUGGAAACUACCAAGCUGGAGUACGGUAGGGGCAGAGGGAAUUUCCGGUGGAGCGGUGAAAUGCGUAGAGAUCGGAAAGAACACCAAUGGCGAAGGCAAUGUUCUGGCUCGUUUCUGACGCUCAGGUGCGGAAGCCAGGGGAGCGAACGGG
rnacentral:rRNA from 1 species